AAAAUCCGUCGACUUUAGAAAUCGUGAGGGUUCNNGUCCCUCUAUCCCCAA
rnacentral:tRNA from 1 species